rnacentral:rRNA from 1 species
AACCAGCUCUUCAAGUGGUCGGGACUUUUAUUGGGCUUAAAGUGUCCGUAGCCUGUUUAGCAAGUUCCUGGUAAAAUCCAGCAGCUUAACUGUUGGUCCGCUGGGAAUACUGCUUUACUGGAGGGCGGGAGAAGUCGGAGGUACUUUGGGGGUAGCGGUGAAAUGCGAUAAUCCUCAGGGGACCACCAGUGGCGAAGGCGUCCGACCGGAACACGCCUGACGGUGAGGGACGAAAGCCAGGGGAGCGAACGGGAUUAGAUACCCCGGUAGUCCUGGCUGUAAACGAUGCGUGCUAGGUGUUGGCAGGGCUAUGAGCCGUGUCAGUGCCGUAGGGAAACCGUUAAGCGCGCCGCCUGGGAAGUACGCUCGCAAGAGUGAAACUUAAAGGAAUUGGCGGGGGAGCACCACAAGGGGUGAAGCCUGCGGUUC